AACGCGAAGAACCUUACCUGGGCUCGAAAUGUAGAGGAUGAUAUCAGAGAUGGUAUUUCCCGAAAGGGUCUUUAUAUAGGUGCUGCAUGGCUGUCGUCAGCUCGUGCCGUGAGGUGUUUGGUUAAGUCCAGCAACGAGCGCAACCCUUAUCGUUAGUUGCCAACGCGUAGAGGCGGGAACUCUAACGAGACUGCCUGGGUUAACCAGGAGGAAGGUGAGGAUGACGUCAAGUCCGCAUGGCCUUUAUGUCCAGGGCUACACACGUGCUACAAUGGUCGGUACAGAAGGCGGCGAAACCGCAAGGCGAAGCAAAUCCUUUAAAACCGAUCUCAGUUCAGAUUGUAGUCUGCAACUCGGCUACAUGAAGUUGGAAUUGCUAGUAAUGGCGUGUCAGCAACAACGCCGUGAAUACGUUCCCGGGCCUUGUA
rnacentral:rRNA from 1 species